AACGAACGCUGGCGGCAGGCUUGACACAUGCAAGUCGAACGCACCGCAAGGUGAGUGGCAGACGGGUGAGUAACGCGUGGGAAUCUACCCAGUUCUUCGGAAUAACUGAGGGAAACUUCAGCUAAUACCGGAUACGCCCUACGGGGGAAAGAUUUAUCGGAAUUGGAUGAGCCCGCGUAAGAUUAGCUAGUUGGUGGGGUAACGGCCUACCAAGGCGACGAUCUUUAGCUGGUCUGAGAGGAUGAUCAGCCACACUGGGACUGAGACACGGCCCAGACUCCUACGGGAGGCAGCAGUGGGGAAUAUUGGACAAUGGGCGAAAGCCUGAUCCAGCCAUGCCGCGUGAGUGAUGAAGGCCUUAGGGUUGUAAAGCUCUUUUAGUGGGGAAGAUAAUGACGGUACCCACAGAAAAAGCCCCGGCUAACUUCGUGCCAGCAGCCGCCGUAAAAC
rnacentral:rRNA from 1 species